GACGAACGCUGGCGGCGUGCUUAACACAUGCAAGUCGAACGGAAAGGCCCUGCUUUUGUGGGGUGCUCGAGUGGCGAACGGGUGAGUAACACGUGAGUAACCUGCCCUUGACUUUGGGAUAACUUCAGGAAACUGGGGCUAAUACCGGAUAGGAGCUCCUGCUGCAUGGUGGGGGUUGGAAAGUUUCGGCGGUUGGGGAUGGACUCGCGGCUUAUCAGCUUGUUGGUGGGGUAGUGGCUUACCAAGGCUUUGACGGGUAGCCGGCCUGAGAGGGUGACCGGCCACAUUGGGACUGAGAUACGGCCCAGACUCCUACGGGAGGCAGCAGUGGGGAAUAUUGCACAAUGGGCGGAAGCCUGAUGCAGCAACGCCGCGUGCGGGAUGACGGCCUUCGGGUUGUAAACCGCUUUCGCCUGUGACGAAGCGUGAGUGACGGUAAUGGGUAAAGAAGCACCGGCUAACUACGUGCCAGCAGCCGCGGUGAUACGUAGGGUGCGAGCGUUGUCCGGAUUUAUUGGGCGUAAAGGGCUCGUAGGUGGUUGAUCGCGUCGGAAGUGUAAUCUUGGGGCUUAACCCCUGAGCGUGCUUUCGAUACGGGUUGACUUGAGGAAGGUAGGGGAGAAUGGAAUUCCUGGUGGAGCGGUGGAAUGCGCAGAUAUCAGGAGGAACACCAGUGGCGAAGGCGGUUCUCUGGGCCUUUCCUGACGCUGAGGAGCGAAAGCGUGGGGAGCGAACAGGCUUAGAUACCCUGGUAGUCCACGCUGUAAACGGUGGGUACUAGGUGUGGGGUCCAUUCCACGGGUUCCGUGCCGUAGCUAGCGCUUUAAGUACCCCGCCUGGGGAGUACGGCCGCAAGGCUAAAACUCAAAGGAAUUGACGGGGCCCCGCACAAGCGGCGGAGCAUGCGGAUUAAUUCGAUGCAACGCGUAGAACCUUACCUGGGUUUGACAUGGAUCGGGAGCGCUCAGAGAUGGGUGUGCCUCUUUUGGGGUCGGUUCACAGGUGGUGCAUGGCUGUCGUCAGCUCGUGUCGUGAGAUGUUGGGUUAAGUCCCGCAACGAGCGCAACCCUUGUUCACUGUUGCCAGCACGUUAUGGUGGGGACUCAGUGGAGACCGCCGGGGUCAACUCGGAGGAAGGUGGGGAUGACGUCAAGUCAUCAUGCCCCUUAUGUCCAGGGCUUCACGCAUGCUACAAUGGCUGGUACAGAGAGUGGCGAGCCUGUGAGGGUGAGCGAAUCUCGGAAAGCCGGUCUCAGUUCGGAUUGGGGUCUGCAACUCGACCUCAUGAAGUCGGAGUCGCUAGUAAUCGCAGAUCAGCAACGCUGCGGUGAAUACGUUCCCGGG
rnacentral:rRNA from 1 species